GUGGGGAAUCUUAGACAAUGGGCGCAAGCCUGAUCUAGCCAUGCCGCGUGAGUGAUGAAGGCCCUAGGGUUGUAAAGCUCUUUCAGCUGGGAAGAUAAUGACGGUACCAGCAGAAGAAGCCCCGGCUAACUUCGUGCCAGCAGCCGCGGUAAUACGGAGGGGGCUAGCGUUGUUCGGAAUUACUGGGCGUAAAGCGCGCGUAGGCGGACUGAAAAGUUGGGGGUGAAAUCCGGGGGCUCAACCUCGGAACUGCCUUCAAAACUAUCAGUCUGGAGUUCGAGAGAGGUGAGUGGAAUUCCGAGUGUAGAGGUGAAAUUCGUAGAUAUUCGGAGGAACACCAGUGGCGAAGGCGGCUCACUGGCUCGAUACUGACGCUGAGGUGCGAAAGCGUGGGGAGCAAACAGGAUUAGAUACCCGGGUAGUCC
rnacentral:rRNA from 1 species